CCUAAGUGGGUGGUAAACUCCAUCUAAGGCUAAAUACAACCACGAGACCGAUAGCACACAAGUACCGUGAGGGAAAGGUGAAAAGAACUUUGAAGAGAGAGUUCAAGAGUACGUGAAACUGAGGUGGUGUAAACGGACGAGAUCGAAAAGUCCGAAUGGGGAGAUUCAAGCCUAUCCGUGCCGGUGGCCGUUGGGUACAGAUGGUGCGGUCGGUUCGGGCCCCUCGGGGUGCCGGAUUCGCUCCGUAUUCACUCGUCCCGGCGGUAUCUGUCUGGUGCGGUGGGCUGCACUUCUCCCCUAGUAGGACGUCGCGACCCGUUGGGAGUUGUUCCGAUCAAGGCCCACGGUGGAGCCCGUGCCGGAGCGGAUUGGUUUCGGCCUUCCGUUGCUGUGCACGGACCCGCGGUGACCUGAUUGGCGCCCGACGGUAUCAAAGCAUUUGGGAAGGUACCGCACAGAGGUUGCGUCCGACGCCCGCCCGCGGGCUACGCUCGGACAGGUACGCACCCGGUCAGCGGCGCUACUGCUUUCGAUACUCGUCCGA
rnacentral:rRNA from 1 species